rnacentral:rRNA from 1 species
GUGCCAGCAGCCGCGGUAACACCCGCAGCUCUAGUGGUGGUCACUUUUAUUGAGCCUAAAGCGUUCGUAGCCGGUUCUGUAAAUCUUCAGAUAAAUUCAUUCGCUCAACGGAUGAUCUUCUGAAGAGACUGUAGAACUUGGGACCGGGUGAGGUUGAAUGUACUUCCGGGGUAGGGGUAAAAUCCUGUAAUCCUGGAAGGACAACCGGUGGCGAAGGCGUUCAACUAGAACGGAUCCGACGGUGAGGAACGAGGGCUAGGGGAGCAAACCGGAUUAGAUACCCGGGUAGUCCUAGCUGUAAACACUGCCCACUUGGUGUUGCCUCUCUGUUGAAGGGGGGCAGUGCCGGAGCGAAGGUGUUAAGUGGGCCGCUUGGGGAGUAUGGUCGCAAGGCUGAAACUUAAAGGAAUUGGCGGGGGAGCACCGCAACGGGAGGAGCGUGCGGUUUAAUUGGAUUCAACGCCGGAAAACUCACCGGGAGCGACCUUUGGAUGAGAGUCAACUUGAUGAGUUUACUCGAUAGAAGGAGAGGUGGUGCAUGGCCGUCGUCAGCUCGUACCGUAGGGCGUUCACUUAAGUGUGAUAACGAGCGAGACCCCCAUCUCUAAUUGCCAGUAUGUCUUUGCGGACAUGCGCACUUUAGAGGGACCGCCAGCGCUAAGCUGGAGGAAGGAGGGGUCGACGGCAGGUCAGUACGCCCCGAAUCUCCCGGGCUACACGCGCGCUACAAAGGACAGGACAAUGAGUUGCAACCUCGAAAGGGGGAGCUAACCUCGAAACCUGUUCAUAGUUAGGAUUGAGGGCUGUAACUCGCCCUCAUGAAUGUGGAUUCCGUAGUAAUCGCGGGUCAACAGCCCGCGGUGAAUAUGCCCCUGCUCCUUGCACACACCGCCCGUCAAACCAUCCGAGCUGGUGUUGGAUGAGGGUAUGCCCGAGAGGACAAACUCGAAUCUGAUGUCAGUGAGAGGGUUAAGUCGUAACAAGGUAACC